rnacentral:rRNA from 1 species
UGGGGAAUUUUGGACAAUGGGCGCAAGCCUGAUCCAGCCAUGCCGCGUGAGUGAAGAAGGCCUUCGGGUUGUAAAGCUCUUUCGGCCGGGACGAAAUCGCACCCUUUAAUACGGGGUGUGGAUGACGGUACCGGAAGAAGAAGCACCGGCUAACUACGUGCCAGCAGCCGCGGUAAUACGUAGGGUGCGAGCGUUAAUCGGAAUUACUGGGCGUAAAGCGUGCGCAGGCGGUUUUGUAAGCCAGAUGUGAAAUCCCCGGGCUUAACCUGGGAACUGCAUUUGGGACUGCAAGGCUAGAGUACGGCAGAGGGAGGUGGAAUUCCACGUGUAGCAGUGAAAUGCGUAGAGAUGUGGAGGAACACCGAUGGCGAAGGCAGCCUCCUGGGCUAGUACUGACGCUCAUGCACGAAAGCGUGGGGAGCAAACAGG